GAUGCUGGCGGCUCCUCGUCGGAGUCGGCCCCAGAGCCAGAUGCAGAGGGCCUGGGCACACCCCCCACGGAUCCUCUGGAUUCCAUUCCCGUUCGGCUCAGCCCGGGGCCAGGCCAGGGCAGGCUCCCGAGAGAAGAGGCCAAGUGAGCACACGAGGAUCCUCGCACGAGUGCCUGGAAGAGCGCCCCACCCGGAAAACGUCCCCCGUACGACACUCUUGACUCCGACGCUGCAGCUGAAACUCGGGCCUCCUUUGGAAACGCCAACAAUGGUUUGGCCAAGAACUGAAAGUCCAAGACUUUGUUUACAAAUUUCCGAAGACAGUAACCUCACAGCUGUUGGUAGUUAUGUGGUUACGAGUAUCGUUUCUGAACGUACGGGUUGCGCACAGGACAAUUUGUUGUUUGGGUUGAGGAAACGGAGAGAUUUACAGUGAGCUCCGUCUCAAAUGUUUAGAGACAACUGGCCAAGGAAGGACGAAUUAAUGCUAGGGGAGCCACUUUCAGGACCCCACCCAAAGGAAAGUGAGAACGCCUCCCGCAGGG